rnacentral:lncRNA from 1 species
UUUCAAAAUUAACAUAUCGGGUCAUUUCGGAAAUACUAUAAGUUGUUUCCAACCUGAUUUAAAAUGCCAUAUAGUGUAGUUUAUUUAUGCUUCACCUUUUUCCUUGUUUUGACAACAUGUAACAUUGUCGUGUACCUAACCGGAAGUGAACUAGUUAAUUCAUUCAUUUAAUGUGUAGUAAUAACUUGUUGUGCUUUAUCAUGUCAUGCAUAAUUAAAAUGGACAUGCAUCACAAUUGGAUGUGCAUCAUGGCAUGAAUAUGUUGUGGUGUUUAUCGUGUGUUGAUUGUUUGUUUCCGGAUUGUUUCUUCUCGAUAGAGUUCCGAACCACUUCGGACUGUGAGGAUCGUUCGAUCAUGUUGGUUCGUCUACUUCACGGAUUCGUUCUUCUUCCAAGCGGAAUCACACGCAAGAUGAUCAUUUCGCUAGAUACCACUACUAUAAUUGCUUUGCUAAUUGUCUCGCUUCUAUCGUUAUGUCACGCUUCCUACCAUGUGUUAUGUCAAGCCUCCCACCAUUGUCAUAAAAACCUCUAACCCCUCCAUAUCCUAGCAAACCUUUGUUUGGCUAUGUUACCGCUUGGUCAGCCCUUCUUAUAGCGUUGCUAGUUGCCGGUGCAAGCUGCUUUCAUGUAAAAACAUGGGCUCCUUAAUAUAUCAUAAUAUUAUUGCUAUUUAAUUUAAUGCACCUACACACUUGGUAAAAGCUGGAAGGCUUGGGCUUUUGUCUCUCUGUUUUGUUGCACUUUUGGCGCCCUAAUUACUUGUGUACUCGUGUUAUGUUCCAUAUUGAUCGUUCCUAACAUGCUUGGGAUCUUUAUGGGGAUCCCCUUGAUUUUUGUUCUGGGAUAAAACUCUUCUGGCAAGGCCCAACAUUGAUACUAUAUUUUCUCAAAAUAAUAAUACUAAACACCGUUAGUAAAGCAUAGGGAGUUAGCUCUAUUCGUGGAUUAAUUCAAUAUAAUACACGGGGGCUAGUGCUGAUGGUGUUGGUUACAAAUGGGCAGACUGCGGAGCCACCGUGAGGAAAAUCGUGGUUUGGUUUUACUAGUAGGCUUCCUAUCUAGUAGUGCCCUAGAAUCACUAGGAUAUCGAGGAUACCUCGGGCUAUCUCGACUUUGAUGUUUUCUCUCCAGGGCAGUUUGUGGUAGUUUGUGAUGGAUUGGUUGGAGCAUUGAUGCAGGGUUAAAUAUUUCGGAAAGCCGUGCCCGCGGUUAUGUGCCAACUUGGGAACUUUGUUUAACACCUGUUCAUAGCAAACUUGAAGUAAACUUAAUUAAAAUGUACCAACUGUGCGUGUAACCGUAACUAUCUAUUCUCGUAAUUAUGGGGUUAUGUUUGACUUGUAAGUAGGUGUUCCGGAUCAUAUCUUGAUCAUUAUUAGUUCUCGUCCAUUUAUGCAUAGCCCAACCCCCUCUUAUUCUUGUACUCGUAAGUUAGCCACAUAAAAAAAUGCCUAGUUGAUUGUUGUAGCCUCACCACUUAACCAUACCUCACCCAUUAAGCUUUGCUAGUCUUCAUACCUUUGGAGAUGAGAUUUCUGAGUCCCUGUGGCUCACCGAUUACUACAACAACAGUUGCAGGUGCUGGUAAAGCGGUACUUUGACGUGAGCGCGAUGAUUGUUCGAUUUGGAGUUUCUUCUUGUUCUUCUUCUUCAUCGAUCUAGGAUGGGUUCCAUACCGUCAACCUGGGAUAGCAAGGAUGAACGUCAUUUUUAUCGUUUUGUUUCGUCCGUAGUCAGACCUUGCUCUUUUGAAUGGUGAUUGAAUGUAUGUUUGUAUUGAGAUGAUCAUGAUUAGGUUAUGGUGAGUGUAAGCCAAUUCCAUACGUGUAUCUUUCCUUUACAUGUACUUGUAACAAUAUCCAUUCUUGCAAAACAGUGAGAUGCGCUUCUAUCCAUGUCGAGGCCCUUGUGCCAAAAGAAGGAUAGAAUCGCAUCUUGGGCGUUACAAUCUUC